ensembl:snRNA U4 U4 spliceosomal RNA
AGCUUUGCACAAUGGCAGUAUCGUAGCCAAUGAGGUUUAUCCGAGGCGCGAUUAUUGCUAAUUGAAAACUUUUCCCAAUACCCCGCGGUGAUGACUUGCAAUAGUGAGCACUGGUAAUUUUUGACAGUCUCUAUGGAGA